GUUUUUUAAUCACAAUUUUUUAAAAUGCUAUUCCAAAGACAGAAUACCACCCUGGGGAUAGGGGGAAGCUGGAGCAGUUUCACAGAGUAAGUCUUUGGAGCUGAACAUUGACAGAUGAGAAAAGCAAUCUCUAUUGAGGACCUACCAUGUGUGGACACUUCUACAUUACACUGUGUCGUAUCAGAACAUCUUUGCAAAACAAAUACUAUCAUCUGCAUUUUACUUACAUGCAACUGAAGUUUACAGAGUUAAG
rnacentral:lncRNA from 1 species